CAAAAUCAACAAGUAUGUACAACGUGAUCAUGUCCCGAGUUCAUCUCCUUUCAGACACCACUACAUUCACUGGAUAUUUUUUAGUUUCACAAGCGAGAAUGUGAAUCCUGUCCAAACUAUUUCUGAAGCAAAUCUAAACAAGCUUCACUCGAUCCUACUUCGAACAUGGUCGGAGCACUGCUAAACCUUAACGCUGCGACUCGUGGGACCAAUCAGCUUUCGAGGUUGAGUCACGUGAUCUACCUGAGUGGUGGGGAGCCAAAGCGUCCCUCCUCGACUCACUCUGCUGAGCAAGCUAUAUGGAUUGCGAGUUUGAGUAGUUAAUUGGAGGCUGUGACAUAAGACAUCUGAACGUGAAUCGCUUACUUUUUAACAACAGACAAUCGUUUUCACUACUGCAGACGAAAGGUAUCUCAAGGAUCUGUCCAACAAGAAAACUUCACUUCUUCGACUGCCAUGGAGAGUGGAAGCGGCGGAGGUUGAGGCGAGUGCUGGUGCGAGUUAAGAGGACAAGCGGCCCAUCAGCGCACCACUGCCUUUCAUGUCCCGGCCCAACACUCACCACUCGGGGGGUUAGCAGAGUGUGUUCGGUCCAUCUGACGCGUUGCUCACAUCAUUGGUAUAAAGGAAGAUACCAGUUCCCGUAGAAGGCGGACUCUUUGGGUAAACGUGGCCUUCUCACUGUACUAAUGGGAAGCGCUGCUUGGCAAAUAGUCCCGCCUCCAUUAUGCAGUCAAGUGUUCGGGGAAAUCGACACACGGGACUCGCCUCGGUGGCCGCUUCGUCGAAUGGUACUUCAGCGGCUCGAGGGGUGCGGCCCGUACUUGUAGUCUGCCCUGGAUGCUGCACCGUCUCUGAUUCGCCUUACUCUCUUAUGGACUUGGUGAGCUUUCAAUCUGUGUCUUUUCCCAUAUUUUUUGUUACUCUCGUGGAAUUGUGAGCUUGUAUUGUGUCUUGUUCCGUAUUUUUGUUACUCUUGUGGACUUGUGACUGUUUAAUCUGCAACUUGUCCCACAUGUGCGGUACUU